rnacentral:rRNA from 1 species
UGGUCAAGUUAUUAAGGGUGCAGGGCGGAUGCCUUGGCACUAGGAGCCGAUGAAGGACGUGAUAAGCUGCGAUAAGCUUCGGGGAGUUGCACGUAAACUUUGAUCCGAAGAUUUCCGAAUGAGGAAACUCACUUAGAGUAAUGUCUAAGUAUCAUUAAGUGAAUACAUAGCUUAAUGAGGGGAACUCAGGGAACUGAAACAUCUAAGUACCUGAAGGAAGAGAAAGAAAUUCGAUUCCGUAAGUAGCGGCGAGCGAACGCGGAUUAGCCCAAACCAAUAAAGUUUUCUUUAUUGGGGUUGCGGACAUAUCAUAACGAAGAGGUAUCGUAAUUGAAGAGGUUUGGAAAGACCCACCACAGAAGGUAAUAGUCCUGUAUGUUAAACGAGAAGACUUUAGAUAUGAUCCAGAGUACCACGGGACACGUGAAACCCUGUGGGAAGCAGGAGGGACCACCCUCCAAGGCUAAAUACUACCUAGUGACCGAUAGCGUAUAGUACCGUGAGGGAAAGGUGAAAAGAACCCCGGGAGGGGAGUGAAAUAGAACCUGAAACCCUGCACUUACAAGCUGUGGAAGCACAUUUCUUGUGUGACCGCGUACUUUUUGUAGAACGGGCCAACGAGUUACGUUAAGUAGCAAGGUUAAGCACUUAAGGUGCGGAGCCGUAGCGAAAGCGAGUUUUAACUGAGCGUUCAGUUACUUGACGUAGACCCGAAACCGGGCGACCUACCCAUGAGCAGGAUGAAGCGAAAGUAAAAUUUCGUGGAGGUCCGAACCCACGAGCGUUGAAAAGCUCGGGGAUGACUUGUGGGUAGCGGUGAAAUUCCAAUCGAGCCCGGAGAUAGCUGGUUCUCCCCGAAAUAGCUUUAGGGCUAGCCUCAAGGUGAGAGAUACGGAGGUAGAGCACUGAAUGUCCUAGGGGGUAUUGCACCUACCGAAGACUAUCAAACUCCGAAUGCCGUCAUCUUAUACUUGGGAGUCAGACUGUGGGUGAUAAGAUUCAUAGUCGAAAGGGCAACAGCCCAGAUCGUCAGCUAAGGUCCCUAAAUGUAAGUUAAGUGGUAAAGGAUGUGGGAUUGCACAGACAACCAGGAUGUUGGCUUAGAAGCAGCCACUCAUUCAAAGAGUGCGUAAUAGCUCACUGGUCGAGUGAUCCUGCGCCGAAGAUUUCCGGGGCUAAAACUUACUACCGAAGCUACGGCAUCAGUAAUGAUGGGUAGGGGAGCUUCCCAUACGGGUUGAAGCAUGACCGUAAGGACAUGUGGACAGUAUGGGAGUGAGAAUGUUGGCAUGAGUAGCGAGAUGUGGGUGAGAAUCCCACAGGCCGUAAACCCAAGGUUUCCAGGGGAAGGUUCGUCCGCCCUGGGUUAGUCGGGACCUAAGCUGAGGCCGAAAGGCGUAGGUGAUGGACAACAGG